UACGAAGGGUGCAAGCGUUACUCGGAAUUACUGGGCGUAAAGCGUGCGUAGGCGGUUUCUUAAGUCUGUCGUGAAAGCCCUGGGCUCAACCUGGGAAUGGCGAUGGAUACUGGGAGGCUAGAGUGUGAUAGAGGAUGGUGGAAUUCCCGGUGUAGCGGUGAAAUGCGUAGAGAUCGGGAGGAACACCAGUGGCGAAGGCGGCCAUCUGGAUCAACACUGACGCUGAGGCACGAAAGCGUGGGGAGCAAACAGG
rnacentral:rRNA from 1 species